UAGCCGCCGAGGGCGUUCCGAGGCCUUUCCGCCGUUGUCGCUGGUUCCGCCAUCUUGAAGGCGAGGAAGCUGGAGGGAGCUGGCGCGGUUUCGUGAAUCUGUCGCCAUCCGGCCGCGGCCUUAUUGAAUCUUCUUGAGGGCUGAGCCCGGGGGAACGUCCCCGACAUGAGAGCUAAGUGGCGAAAGAAGCGGAUGCGCAGGCUGAAGCGCAAAAGAAGAAAGAUGAGGCAGAGGUCCAAGUAGAUGUUGCUUACAGUGCUACUGAAGCUGCAAAAUGGAGUAUGGAAGGAUGGAGCUUGGGAAGCUGAAUUCCAUACAAUGCCUUCUAUUUGCUGCUGCCAGAAGACCCCUUGCAUACCUUCAGGAGAUUCCAUCUUAAAGUCUAGGAGCCAUGCUUCUUCAAGGGUGGUGCUUUGAGCUGUACUAUUCUGGACUCAUCCUCUUUGUGGCUUGAUGUAGCGACUGUAUAAAAUAAAGCCCUUUUCUUGGGAAUUCAGCACAGUUUUUUUCUGAACAAUUGUUGAAUAAUCAGUAAAAGGUUUGAAAUUAUAGAGGUUUUAGUUAUUUCAGUUCUAUUUGGAAAUUUCAUUUGCAGCUAUUAGUUAAUGGUACUUUAAAACUUGCUUAUACAGAGCUAUUAUGCUGCAAUCUAGUCAUGGGUUAGGUAAAGAUAGGAUCCAACCAUCUUCAGGUUGAAAGAUGAGAAUUGCUACUUUGUGGAAGCCCUUUGGCAUGGAAGCAUUCUGCAUUCAACCUGUUAGUGCUGUUUUCUGAACGAUUUUUGCUGGGAAAUAAGUGCUUAGACCAGAAUCAACUUGGAAGACCUCAUGCUAUCAGAUCUUCAGCAAUUCAUAAUCUUUCUCUGGGGUGUAUAUCUUUGCUAGAUAGCAACAGUAUAUUCUUACUCAAAUAUGAAUACUGCUUCUCUAUAUAUAAAGGAUCUCCUUGGGCUAAAAAAGGUUGACAGCCUGUCUAUUGCUAGAAUUAAAAAAGAAUGCCAUAAGGGACCAUUAACAGGUAAAAAUGUAUAUGUGACUUUCAUCCUCUAUUAGGUAUAUUUAGUGAGUUUCUUAUACAUGUCAUGGCAGGAUUGUAAGUCAAAAUUGAGCAUUUUCAUUGCAUUGUGCCAUCAAUUUGACUGACGUAUGUUGAUCCUCUCUGGUUUCCUAAGAUUUGCCAUUGCCUUCACCUAAGGCUGAAAGAGUAAUUUGUCUAAGGUCACACAAUGCAUUUCCAUGUUUGAAUGCAUUUUAACUUUGGUCCAGCACAAAACCACUACACUAGUUCUCAAGCAAGUUGUGAACCAUUCUUUUUGGAAAUACCAGGUCCUAUAAAUUCUGCUAUUUUGGGGGCAUGAGGGAAGAUCUGAAGAGUGACUGGUAGUCUUUCCCUGCUUCCAGUUUUUCUGCAUGAGGUAAGAGAAGUUGAAAAUAGUGAAAAUUUUAUAUGCCCCCUUUUAAAAGGACAGUAUUGAGUUUGAGAAAAUUCACAACUUGUUUUGUACAAUAAGCUUGCUUUUCCAGAGAACUAUAGAAACAAUAGGUUUAACAAAUGGAUCAAUAAUUGGAAUUAAUAAAUUAAACGUACAGGUUGAAUGUCUUAUUAAAAUGUUCUGUACAGGUGGCAGGCUGAUACUUUUGCUUUGUGGUGGGUCAGUGCAUAUAUAUAUAUAUAUAGUUCCAUGCACAAAAAAAGUAAAAAUACUGCAUAAAAGUUAAAAUUAGCUUAUGAGUACAAGGUGUCUGAAACAUUUCAGAUUUUAGACUUUGAUCCCAUUUAUGUGUGUGUAUUCAUAAAAUCCGAAGUACUUCUAGUUUCAAAUACAGUAGAGUCUCACUUAUCCAACACUCGCUUAUCCAACGUUCUGGAUUAUCCAACGCAUUUUUGUAGUCAAUGUUUUCAAUAUAUCGUGAUAUUUUGGUGCUAAAUUCAUAAAUACAGUAAUUACUACAUAGCAUUACUGCAUAUUGAACUACCUUUUCUGCCAAAUUUGUUGUCUAACAUGAUGUUUUGGUGCUUCAUUUGUAAAAUCAUAACCUAAUUUGAUGUUUAAUAGGCUUUUCCUUAAUCCCUCCUUAUUAUCCAACAUAUUCGCUUAUCCAACAUUCUGCCGGCCCGUUUAUGUUGGUUAAGUGAGACUCUACUGUACUUCGGAUAAGUCAUACACUCAGCCUACAAUAGCAUUUUAAAGUAUCUUUCAGAGUGUUCAAAGGCUUUCAUGGCCAGAAUCACUGGGUUGCUGUGAGUUUUCUGGGCUGUAUGGCCAUGUUACAGAAGCACUCCUGUUGUUUCACUCACAUCUAUGGCAGGCAUCCUCAGAGGUAGGAGCCAUGGGUUUUUUUUUCUUCAUAUCAGGAGCAACUUGAGUCGCUUCUGGAGUGAGAAUUGGCUGUCUGCAAGGACGAUGCCCAGGGGACGCUCAGAUGUUUUACCAUCCUUGUGGGAGGCUUCUCAUGUCCACGCAUGGAGCUGGAGCUGAUAGAGGGAGCUCAUCCAGGCAGCCAUCAGAUCAGCAACCCAACCUUCAAGUCACGCUUUAAUCCAGUACGCCAUCGAGGGCUCAUGGUGGCGCAGUGGGUUAAACCCUUUUGUCAGUUGAACUGCUAGCCUGAAGGUUGCCAAUCUGAAUCUCUGAAUCUCCUGUCAGCUCAAGUUUGAGGGGACGUGAGAGAAGCCUCCCAGAAAGAUGGUAACACAUCCAGGCAUCCUGAGCAACAUCUGCAGAUGGCCAAUUCUCUCACACCAGAAGCGACUUGCAGUAUGUUCUCAGUUGCUUCUGACAAUAAAAUCCUCAAGAGGUGUGAGGUCUGUUGGAAACUAGGCAAGUGGGGUUUAUCUGAAAAGUCCAGGUUGAGAGAAAGAAUUCGCCUGGGCAUGUGUGAAUGUUUCAAUUGGCCACCUUGAUUAGCAUUGGAUGGCCUUUCAGCUUCAAGAUUUGGCUGCUUCCUACCCGGGGGAUCCAUUGUUGGGAUGUGUUAGCUGGCUCUGAUUGUUGCCUGUCUGGAAUUCCCAUGUUUUCUGAGUGUUGUUCCAUAAGUGAUCACAGACGGAGUUCAAAGCAAAAAAAAAAUUUAGUCAGUAGCGCCAGGGGCUAAGCAGCUGUAGGGACGUUAGUUACACUAUAGCGCGGCUGCUUGGUUAUGGGCCUUUAUUCCGCCAAAGGUUUCCUCCGAGUCUCGUGCGGCUAAGAACUCGCGGAGGAAGGGAAAGCCCUCGGCGGAAGAAACGAUAGAGCACUUCCGGUAGGGGUGGCUAGACGGGUGCUCCCGCGCCGGAAGGGGCUGCGCUUGGCUUGGAGCGGAGGAGGUCGGAGUGACGGGAGUGGGUGAAAGCGGGAGGAGCGGCCGGGUUGGUCAGCAGGCCUUGGCUUCGCCCCGCUGGGUCCUGGGAGCCUGGCCGUGUGGCCCGUCUCCUUUCCUGAGGCGGGAGGUCAGGGCCGGGCUCCCUCUGCCGCCUCCUCCUGCUGGUGCUUUUGUCUGGCGGGCUUUUGCGCUCUCCCUGCCUCGCUCCCGAGCAUUGGCUCGGGGAAGCCCUCCUCCUCCUCUCUUUUUCAAGGGAAGGGAAGGGUGGGAUGGGGCUCCAGGGAACCAGGAAGCCGCGGAGUUGGCGGGAAGAAGGGCCCCGCAUCGCCAUGGACUGAGGCCAAAGAGUAGUUUGACUUCAUUUCUCAGCCCAGACGGGGCUAGAAAAAGAUGCCUGACCGCGACAACAGCUAUAACGGUAGUGGGAAUGAUGAAGCGAGUGCCAAUUCCUAUGUCAUCUGCCGAGAUUUCUUGCGUAAUGUCUGCAAGCGAGGCAAGCGCUGUCGUUUCCGCCACCCUGAUAUCAAUGAGGUGACAAACCUGGGAGUCAGCAAGAACGAGUUCAUCUUCUGCCACGACUUCCAGAACAAGGAGUGUGUCCGCAUCAACUGCCGCUUCAUCCACGGCACCAAGGAGGAUGAGGACUGCUACAAAAAGACCGGGGAGCUUCCCCCGCGACUCCGCCAGAAAGUGGCAGCUGGGCUUGGCCUUUCCCCAGCUGAUCUCCCUAACAGCAAGGAGGAGGUACCGAUUUGUAGGGACUUCCUCAAGGGGGAUUGCCAGCGUGGAGCCAAAUGUAAAUUUCAGCAUUUGCAGCGGGAUUAUGAGUAUGAUGCCCGGGGCCUGGCUACCCGGGAGCAGGGCAUCACCACUCCUGUGCGUCGGUAUGACCCAUAUGAUCCGAUGUAUGACUCUGACCGGUGCUAUGAUGACCACGAUCCUGUGCUCAAGCGGCGGCGGGUAGAUGGGCUCCAUUUUGAGACUUAUGAGUACAACUUCACCAGUCCACGUACAGUAGAAUACCGGCUUUUGGAGGAAGAAAAUAUCAUGCUCCGGAAACGUAUUGAGGACCUCAAGAAGCAGGUGAACAAUCUCCUGGCCACAAAUGAGGUUCUCCUGGAACAGAACGCCCAGUUCCGCAAUCAGGCCAAGGUGAUGACUCUCAGCUCCACUGCAACAGCCACUGAGCAGACUCUGGCACCCACGGUGGGCACUGUCACCAACUACAAUCAUAGCAUUGCCCAGACUCACACUACCUUGAGUAGCCAGGCUCUGCAGCCACGGCCUGUCUCCCAGCAGGAUUUGGUGGCUCCAGCUGGAGCACAGGCAGCCCCUCCCAGCAACGCAGCACCUCCUAUGAACCCUGAAAUCACCCCACUGUCAGCAGCUCUGGCUCAGACAAUUGCUCAGGGGAUGGCUCCACCUGUCUCCAUGGCACCAGUAGCUGUUUCAGUGGCUCCAGUGGCUGUAUCUAUGGCUCAACCCUUGGGGGGCAUCACCAUGAGCCAUGCCACCACGCCCAUGGUGACAUACCCCAUAGCGUCUCAGAGUAUGAGGAUAACAGCCAUGCCUCACUAGCUUACAUCCAGGCGAGGUGCCCUCAUUCAGUCUGUGCUACCCCUAAGUCAAGGGGAAAUGCUUACAAGGAUCUAGUUCUGUCCUGUUGAAGGAUAUAGAAAAGAUAAUGAAAUUGGUUUCAAAUGUGAAUCUGAAAGUCACCAGAAUUCUCAUCUCUACACACUGGGGAAGGACAGUCGCUUGGGCCGACAAUUUUCCUCAAGCAAGCAUAUGUGCCCCCCCCCCCCAAAAAAAAAAAAAAAAACAGCAAGACUCAGGGAUGACAGAACUAGCAAAACAAUUUGGAGAGUGCAGUAAUCUCAUAGCCUCUGUGUGUGUUUUGUAUCUCUUUUGCAGCUUGUCCAUCCUCAUGGAAUUUACCCACCAAAUCCUUUGAGUGUAUUAAUUCAGCAAAUUGCCCUGCUUAAUGGAAACAUUGCUUGCACACACAUGCUUAUUACUCUGGUGGACUAGAGAAAAUACAUUUAUACUCCCUAGUACUUGCCACUGAGAAGGAGAGAGGCUUUUGUUGACUUGGUCAGAGAAAAGGCUGAGGCUCAAAGAGUGCUAGCUCUAAAAACAGCAAAGACAGAGGUAGACUUUUCUUGGAGUAGUAUUGCAGGCUCUCAUAUUUAAUCUAAUUGGUCUCUUUUGCUAUAAUAUACAGAUGAAUGGAAAAGUCCCAGAAAAGACCAGAUGUAAUAUGGUUUCCUUCUGACUUGACCGGGAGUGUAAGUUAAAAUUGUGUGUUUAGAAAGAGCAGAGUCAACGUGCUUAGUGUUACUAAAGCUUUUUGAGUAGAGGUGAUUGCAGAGAUAUACAAAAAUUGCAUUUUUGUAUUCAUUUCUGAGUUCUUAAAGAGCCUAGGAUGUAGUGACAGGAUCUCUUGGAACCACCCAAAAUAUGGGCAUCUUAAUUUCUUAUUCAUACUUGCAGGGUCACCUGGUGCCUUGUAAUAUCAGAAUCCAUUAAUGAGUUGUCUCCCAUUCUCUUCUUUCCACCGCAGUCUUUACUGCCUUCUGCCUGUAUUUCAUGUCUGAAUUUCUCUCACUUCCAAAUAAUUCGUUACUUGUAGGGGCUUUUCUGCUCUGCACUGCUUCAUGUUUUGUUAAACAAAACAACACACUUCAAAAAAAUACAAGAAACCUCCCCCCAUAUGUUUUUAUUUGGUCUUUUGGCUUCAUCUUGAUACCUUUUUAUUAGUUGAUGUGAAUGUGAAUUUCAGCUCCUCCUUGGGUUAAAAGUAGCCUUUGCAUCUUUGUGUUACAUUUGGAUUGGUUUUUAUUAGAAGGUUUUUUUAAAAAAAUGAGGGAAAUGUUUCAUGACCCAGCUGUUUCUACUGUUAACAGUGCAAAUGUUUUCAGCUAUUAAAGCAAAUGUACAGUCAUCACAAAUAUUCAGUGGUUAUAUGAUUUUAUAUAUAGAUGUUAAAAUGCUUAUUUUCUUACUCUU